ACUAAAGCUACACGUAGAGUGUGAUCACAGACGGUGAAAGCGGCAGCUUGCUCUGCUGGAUCAGUGGCGAACGGGUGAGUAACACGUGAGCAAUCUGCCCCUGACUCUGGGAUAAGCGCUGGAAACGGCGUCUAAUACCGGAUACGAGCUGCGAAGGCAUCUUCAGCAGCUGGAAAGAACUUCGGUCAGGGAUGAGCUCGCGGCCUAUCAGCUAGUUGGUGAGGUAACGGCUCACCAAGGCGUCGACGGGUAGCCGGCCUGAGAGGGUGACCGGCCACACUGGGACUGAGACACGGCCCAGACUCCUACGGGAGGCAGCAGUGGGGAAUAUUGCACAAUGGGCGCAAGCCUGAUGCAGCAACGCCGCGUGAGGGACGACGGCCUUCGGGUUGUAAACCUCUUUUAGCAGGGAAGAAGCGAAAGUGACGGUACCUGCAGAAAAAGCACCGGCUAACUACGUGCCAGCAGCCGCGGUAAUACGUAGGGUGCAAGCGUUAUCCGGAAUUAUUGGGCGUAAAGAGCUCGUAGGCGGUUUGUCGCGUCUGCUGUGAAAACCCGAGGCUCAACCUCGGGCCUGCAGUGGGUACGGGCAGACUAGAGUGCGGUAGGGGAGAUUGGAAUUCCUGGUGUAGCGGUGGAAUGCGCAGAUAUCAGGAGGAACACCGAUGGCGAAGGCAGAUCUCUGGGCCGUAACUGACGCUGAGGAGCGAAAGGGUGGGGAGCAAACAGGCUUAGAUACCCUGGUAGUCCACCCCGUAAACGUUGGGAACUAGUUGUGGGGACCAUUCCACGGUUUCCGUGACGCAGCUAACGCAUUAAGUUCCCCGCCUGGGGAGUACGGCCGCAAGGCUAAAACUCAAAGGAAUUGACGGGGACCCGCACAAGCGGCGGAGCAUGCGGAUUAAUUCGAUGCAACGCGAAGAACCUUACCAAGGCUUGACAUAUACGAGAACGGGCCAGAAAUGGUC
rnacentral:rRNA from 1 species